rnacentral:rRNA from 1 species
AUUGAACGCUGGCGGCAGGCUUAACACAUGCAAGUCGAGCGGAGAUGAGGUGCUUGCACCUUAUCUUAGCGGCGGACGGGUGAGUAAUGCUUAGGAAUCUGCCUAUUAGUGGGGGACAACAUUCCGAAAGGAAUGCUAAUACCGCAUACGUCCUACGGGAGAAAGCAGGGGAUCUUCGGACCUUGCGCUAAUAGAUGAGCCUAAGUCGGAUUAGCUAGUUGGUGGGGUAAAGGCCUACCAAGGCGACGAUCUGUAGCGGGUCUGAGAGGAUGGUCCGCCACGCUGGGACUGAGACACGGCACAGACUCCUACGGGAGGCAGCAGUGGGGAAUAUUGGACAAUGGGGGAAACCCUGAUCCAGCCAUGCCGCGUGUGUGAAGAAGGCCUUAUGGUUGUAAAGCACUUUAAGCGAGGAGGAGGCUACUGAGACUAAUACUCUUGGAUAGUGGACGUUACUCGCAGAAUAAGCACCGGCUAACUCUGUGCCAGCAGCCGCGGUAA